rnacentral:rRNA from 1 species
GACGAACGCUGGCGGCGUGCUUAACACAUGCAAGUCGAGCGGAAAGGCCACUUCGGUGGUACUCGAGCGGCGAACGGGUGAGUAACACGUGAGUAAUCUGCCCCCCACUUCGGGAUAGCCCUGGGAAACCGGGAUUAAUACCGGAUAUGACGCAUCCCUGCAUGGGGUGUGCGUGGAAAGUUUUUCGGUGGGGGAUGUGCUCGCGGCCUAUCAGCUUGUUGGUGGGGUAAUGGCCUACCAAGGCUUCGACGGGUAGCCGGCCUGAGAGGGUGACCGGGCACACUGGGACUGAGGCACGGCCCAGACUCCUACGGGAGGCAGCAGUGGGGAAUAUUGGACAAUGGGGGAAACCCUGAUCCAGCCAUGCCGCGUGUGUGAAGAAGGCCUUAGGGUUGUAAAACACUUUCGGCUGUGAAGAUAAUGACAGUAGCAGAAGAAGAAGCUCCGGCUAAAUUCGUGCCAGCCGCCGCAGUAA